GACGAACGCUGGCGGCGUGCUUAACACAUGCAAGUCGAACGGAAAGGCCCUGCUUUUGUGGGGUGCUCGAGUGGCGAACGGGUGAGUAACACGUGAGUAACCUGCCCUUGACUUUGGGAUAACUUCAGGAAACUGGGGCUAAUACCGGAUAGGAGCUCCUGCUGCAUGGUGGGGGUUGGAAAGUUUCGGCGGUUGGGGAUGGACUCGCGGCUUAUCAGCUUGUUGGUGGGGUAGUGGCUUACCAAGGCUUUGACGGGUAGCCGGCCUGAGAGGGUGACCGGCCACAUUGGGACUGAGAUACGGCCCAGACUCCUACGGGAGGCAGAAGUGGUGAAUAUUGCACAAUGGGCGGAAGCCUGAUGCAGCAACGCCGCGUGCGGGAUGACGGCCUUCGGGCUGUAAACCGCUUUCGCCUGUGACGAAGCGUGAGUGACGGUAAUGGGUAAAGAAGCACCGGCUAACUACGUG
rnacentral:rRNA from 1 species